CGGUAAAACAGAACCCCCAAGCGUUAUCCGGAUUCAUUGGGCGUAAAGCGUCUGUAGCCGGCUUAGAAAGUCUAUAGUUAAAUACCAAGAGCUCAACUUUUGGAAUGCUAUGGAAACUUCUAAACUAGAGGGUGUUAGGGGUUGAUGGAACUCUUGGUGGAGGGGUGAAAUCCGUUGAUAUCAAGAGGAACACCAAAAGCGAAGGCAUUCAACUGGGGCAACCCUGACGGUGAGAGACGAAAGCGUGGGGAGCGAAGAGGAUUAGAUACCCUCGUAGUCCACGCUGUAAACGAUGGAUACUAGCUAUGUGAAGUGUCGACCCUUCACGUGGCGAAGCUAACGCGUUAAGUAUCCCGCCUGGGAAGUACGGCCGCAAGGCUAAAACUCAAAGGAAUAGACGGGGACCUACACAAGCGGUGGAUCAUGUGGCUUAAUUCGUCAGCAAGCGAGGAACCUUACCAGGGCUGGAAACACUCGUGAACCUCAUCAGAAACGAUGAGCUACCCACAAGGACACGAGUUCAGGUGUUGCACGGCUGUCGUCAGCAUGUACCUUGAGGCGCUCCGUUAAAUCGGGCAACAUGCGCAACCCCUAUCCUGUGUUUUAUAUGUCACAGGAAACUGCCUUCGACAAGAAGGAGGAAGGUGGGGACGACGCCAAGUCAGCGUGAUCCUUUGAUGUCCUGGGCUGCACACAUGAUACAAUGGGGCCGACAACGGGUUGCGAGAGAGUAAUCUUUAGCUAAUCCCUUAAACGGUCUCUCAGUUCGGAUCGAGGUCUGAAAUUCGACCUCGUGAAGCCGGAAUCGCUAGUAAUCGCGUAUCAGCCACGGCGCGAUGAAUACGUUCCUAGG
rnacentral:rRNA from 1 species